UUUGGAAUUGCUGGGUCACAUGGUUAUUCUCUUUCUAAUUUAUUAUAGAACUAUCAGAUUGUUUUUCAUAAUGGAUGCACUAUUUCGUAUUCCCACCAACAGU
rnacentral:pre_miRNA from 1 species